ACCGCACUAGAGAAAUGGUUAACUCGUUGGCCUCCUAUUACCAAAAAACAAUAGCCGAAGAUUCCGGGUUCGAGUCCCGGGCGUGGUC